rnacentral:rRNA from 1 species
CAUCGCAUCCUGGGGCUGUAGGCGGUCCCAAGGGUUGGGCUGUUCGCCCAUUAAAGCGGUACGCGAGCUGGGUUCAGACCGGCGUGAGCCAGGUCGGUCCCUAUCUGCUGUGGGCGCUGCAUUAUUGACCAGAUUUCUCCCUAGUACGAGAGGAUUGGGAGGGACUCACCCCUGGUGUGCCAGCUGGACCGCUCGGUCCACCGCUGGGUAGCUAAGUGGGGCAGGGAUAACCGCUGAAAGCAUCUAAGCGGGAAGCCCUCUGGAAGAUGAGUAAUGCACGUUCAUUUUGAAUGAGAGACCCCCGGAAGACCACCGGGUUGAUAGGCCGCACGUGUAAGGGCAGAAAUGCCUUCAGCGAAGCGGUACUAAUGGUCGAGGCCUGGUCAUC